AUGUCCGGAUAGAGCUGGGGCUCGACAUCAGAACAACUUAUUUUGGUUUCAAUCGAUCACUGUUGGAUAACUUGUAUUAAACAAAACAAAAAAAAACAUGGCCUCAAGUUGUCGAAAACCAGAGCAUAUUGCCCCGCUUAAAAAUGUUCUACAACGAAGAGGCCAAGAAAUAUUUUCAAAAUUCUCGGGUGAUUGAGAUCCAGGGCCAGAUGUCCUAGAGGGCUGUGGAGCUGCUGAACCUGCCUGAGGACCAGCCCUGUAUCCUGCUAGAUGGGCAUGAUGUCCUAGAGGGCUGUGGAGCUGCUGAACCUGCCUGAGGACCAGCCCUGUAUCCUGCUAGAUGGGCAUGAUGUCCUAGAGGGCUGCUGAACCUGCCUGAGGACCAGCCCUGUAUCCUGCUAGAUGGGCAUGAUGUCCUAGAAGGCUGUGGAGCUGCUGAACCUGCCUGAGGACCAGCCCUGUAUCCUGCUAGAUGGGCAUGAUGUCCUAGAGGGCUGUGGAGCUGCUGAACCUGCCUGAGGACCAGCCCUGUAUCCUGCUAGAUGGUCAUGAUGUCCUAGAGGGCUGCUGAACCUGCCUGAGGACCAGCCCUGUAUCCUGCUAGAUGGGCAUGAUGUCCUAGAAGGCUGUGGAGCUGCUGAACCUGCCUGAGGACCAGCCCUGUAUCCUGCUAGAUGGGCAUGAUGUCCUAGAGGGCUGCUGAACCUGCCUGAGGACCAGCCCUGUAUCCUGCUAGAUGUGGGGAAGCCUACCCAAGGUGAGGAAAAGAACAGGGGGGUUUUAUUUCGAUAGACUAUGCAGUCUUGAGUCCUGAACCCAAGGUGAGGAAAAGAACAGGGGGGUUUUAUUUCGAUAGACUAUGCAGUCUUGAGUCCUGAACCCAAGGUGAGGAAAAGAACAGGGGGUUUUAUUUCGAUAGACUAUGCAGUCUUGAGUCCUGAACCCAAGGUGAGGAAAAGAACAGGGGGGUUUAUUUCGAUAGACUAUGCAGUCUUGAGUCCUGAAUGCUGAUGGUUUGUGUUUUCAGGGGUUGGGGUCAGAGACGGUGGACAGGAGUGUCCCAAAUCAAGUCCAAUUCACAGGACAGAGGUAAAGUGAUUUAAUAAGAUUGUCAACUUUAGACAUGUUGUAAUGCUUAAUUACCACCAUUAUGUUA